rnacentral:rRNA from 1 species
UACGUAGGGGGCAAGCGUUGUCCGGAUUUAUUGGGCGUAAAGAGCUCGUAGGCGGUUCGGCAAGUCGGGUGUGAAACCCCCAGGCUCAACCUGGGGACGCCACCCGAUACUGCUGUGACUUGAGUCCGGUAGGGGAGAGUGGAAUUCCUGGUGUAGCGGUGAAAUGCGCAGAUAUCAGGAAGAACACCCGUGGCGAAGGCGGCUCUCUGGGACGUGACUGACGCUGAGACGCGAAAGCGUGGGGAGCGAACAGG